rnacentral:misc_RNA from 1 species
UCGCAUUUCUACUGGCAACCGCAUUGGAAAUGUCAGGACUUUGAAAAAGAUGGAAGCUAUGGAGUAAAGUGGUGGGCAAGACAUCAAAACGGAUUUUAAGCGAGUCUGAGAGAAUCCGGCUACCUGGGCAAUCAAGUAGUCCUGGCGAUUUGUGACAGUCGCCCCAGACGAACUGUCAAUGCCAGUCGUUGUCCGGAACUUAUCGAUAUCACACUUGACCUUCUGAUUCCAAGCCAUACCAUCUCCAUCGCAAAAAAAAUUCCCUAAAACUUAAUUGACAGAUUUGGAGUUGGACUCGAGUUGUCGGAAAGAUUGUUGCGAGAUGACGGACAAGAAGACCGAUGAGGAAAUCAGGCGGGAGAUCGCACGGGAAUUCGAUUUGCCGGAGCGCAAGUCCAAGAUAGCCACCAUUCUAAAGCAGGAAGGGCAGGCGUACUGCAUAUGCCGCUCCUCCGACUGCUCCAGGUUCAUGAUAGGCUGCGAUGGUUGCGAGGAGUGGUACCACGGCGACUGUAUAGGGAUCACCGAGAAGGAUGCUGAGCACAUCAAAAAGUACUACUGCCGGCGAUGCAAAAAGGAGAAUCCCGAACUGCAGACCAUAUUCCGCCUGGUGGACACCGAACGGGCAGCCGCAUCGAACGCCGCCUCUACUAGUCUCAAUGCCCCAGGCGUAAGUCCAUCGGGCGCUGCGCCUGCUGCUGCACCGGUGGCGCCCGCAACAACCAGCCAGCAAGCGCCGCCACCGACCACUGUGGCUGCGAUGCGCAAAAACAACAGCGCCCGAGAACCAAAGGAGUCGGGGCCGACUGAAGUACGCCCACGUAGGAAGCGGAAGAAGGCGACACCCAAGACUCGCAAUAUCCAGGUGGGCCCGCGGGAGGCCAGUCCGGAGAUAUUCCUUAAUCCGGAGCUACAGGGCAUCCGGCAGUGCCACGGACCCAAUUGCUGCUCCGAAGCGAGGCCGCAGAGCGAGUACUGCAGCGAUGAGUGUAACGCCAAUUUUGCCGUCGAAGGCCUCUUUCAGGCUCUGCCGCAACAAAUGCAAGAUUGGAAUAUUACGCCCAGCCAGGCCGCCGAGGCAACACGCAAGCUUCUUGCCGAUGCAGAAGAGCCCGACAUGGACGAGCGAGUGAGAAAACAGCAGGAGCAACUGGCGGAGGUAGAGAAGCAGAGGCAACUGAUACAGACACAGGUGAAACAGUACCAGGAGAAGCAGAAGCUAUGGUUGCAGCAACAACCACAGCACCUGCAACAACAACACCAGCAGCAGCAGCAAAAAGAGCAGGAGCUACAACAACAGCGGGAGCAGCAGCAACAAGAGUUUCUGCAGCAACUGCAUUUGGAGCCACAUCAUGUGCAGCAAGUGCAAGAGAAAAUGCAGCUGUUGCAGCAGAAGUUUUGGCUGCAGCAGCAGUUGCAAGAGUAGCAGAAGACGGCCCCAUUCCCACAGAAAACACAAGCCAAGGACUAGCAAUAAACGGACAUGCAGCAGCAACAACAGUUGCUGCGUCUACUGCACUUGAAGCCACAUCAUUUGCAGCAACUGAAACUGCAGCUUUUGCAGAAACAGCAGUUGCACCAGCAGUAGAAGAAUGCCCAAAUCCCACAGAAAACUCAAACUAUCUACCUGCAGAAAAAGCCAUAGAUUUGUAGUCCUCUAAUCAUAGCAAAAACUAACAAUAAACUGACAUGCAAGAAAUA